AUACGAAGGGUGCAAGCGUUACUCGGAAUUACUGGGCGUAAAGCGUGCGUAGGUGGUUGUUUAAGUCUGUCGUGAAAGCCCUGGGCUCAACCUGGGAAUGGCGAUGGAAACUGGGCGACUAGAGUGUGGCAGAGGGUAGUGGAAUUCCUGGUGUAGCAGUGAAAUGCGUAGAGAUCAGGAGGAACAUCCGUGGCGAAGGCGACUGCCUGGGCCAACACUGACACUGAGGCACGAAAGCGUGGGGAGCAAACAGGAUUAGAUACCUUGGUAGUCCACGCCCUAAACGAUGCGAACUGGAUGUUGGGUGCAAUUUGGCACGCAGUAUCGAAGCUAACGCGUUAAGUUCGCCGCCUGGGGAGUACGGUCGCAAGACUGAAACUCAAAUGAAUUGACGGGG
rnacentral:rRNA from 1 species